CUCUACUGUGAACUUUAAUGAAGAGAAGAGUCUAGAGGACCAAGGGAUGUGUUCACUUUAAACCUACUGUGUCAUAUGAAACCGGAAGCAGACCCUGAGCCCUACAUGAGACUGCAGUCCUGGCCAACAUAGUGACACCAUCUAGCAAGACAGAGACUAUGAGGUGAUGAAUACAUUAUCAACUGCUGUAUUUGUGGAAUGCUCUGGAACAGAGGGUCGAAAGGGCCAGUUUAUGUUUAGACACCAUGGUGCUGAUAUAGGUAUCUGGUAACAUGACUGACACUGGACAAACCAGAAGACUAAGUCAAAACAAAAUGGUUGACUCUGGAAACCCCAAAGCAAACAGAUAAAAUGUAUUAUGUUUUGGGCAAAA
rnacentral:lncRNA from 1 species